UCGUGGCUGUAUGUUGGCUUCGUGCUGGCGAGCUAUAGUUCUCCUGUCACAAAUCAUGGAGACAUUCAUCCUCACAGAUUUCUGCUCCUGCUAUGUGAAAAGGUAAAUUCCAUGGAACGAACCCCCUGAAUAAAGUGAUGUCCAUUUCGAACUAUUUGGUUAAAGGAUAUUCCAAGAAUUCCCACUCUCGCAAGAAAACAACUUGGAUCACCUAUGAUAAGAUGUUUUGGUGUUAAGUUUCUCCUCUUUUAUGGACCAAGAAGAUGAAUUAUUUUGGCAACAUCAACUGCAUUUGUACUGACAACAAAAAUAUUGUUACUUGGAUGGUCUUAUAUUUAGAGGUACACUAUUAUCUCUGCACUUUAUUGUUACUACUUGAAAGCUCCAUAACAUCCAUGCGUAGAUGCACUUCCAGUCGUUUUAUGGUUGGCAUUAAAGUUAACCUUUAAACUGAACUUGCAUGUCAAUACGUCAUCUUAAUUUUUUAGUAGAAAUUCUCACUGCGCCGUUUGAACUCCACGUCAAGAAUGGAACUAUGAGUAUUUAAAGCCCCGCUUGAUGAGAAACUGUCAAAUAAUUGUUAAUCUUAAAUUGUAGACAAGAUACCGAGCCAAUCAUUCUAUAGCUUUGAUAAUUUAUCUCCUUUAGAUUGAUAUUCCAGAACAUCUUCUGCAACAUAGUAUUUUUGGAUGAAAUCCCUUUAUCAUAGUUAUUUAAGAGUACCGUCCACUUGUCGAGUGUGUGAGCACCCAAGGAAUGUUUAGUGCUUUGUCCAUUGUUCACUUGACUGCAUGAUCUAUUACUCCCACUGAUCCAUAUUAGUUGUCGCUGAAACGGAUGUAUCUUGAUGUAUAUCAAUGCUAGAUACAUCUGUUUGAGAAAAGUAGUAUGGAUCGGAGGGAGUAUCAAUUUUAUACAAUGCUCUAAGACCACUCGGCUGAAUAAGUUCCAUUUCAUCAUUUUUCUGUUUAUGUACCUGUUUAUUCAUGUUGAUGAUCUGCACAGAGAAAAAUGCAUGACAACCUCCAUCUUGAUUGCGUGAUCUCGUUCAAUUUUAUUUUCCAGACUAUAGGUAGAUAUUUGAGCCAAUUUGGUAAUAAGAAAGUUAAAACCUGAGAAGUGAUAAGACAGUAUCGUUUGUGUCUUCAUGAACUUUACUUUUAUGUUUUCAUGACUUUUGUUCCUGUCCAAAUAUUACACGGUCGCAUAAUUCUUUCCUAACUUGCAGAUGCUAUCCAAGCCACAUUAUCCUUCCCUGACAUGCAGAUGCUAUCUAAGCAUUUGUGUUCUAACAGAGAUAAAUAACUUUUUUCAUUAAAUCAAUAAGAGCAGCACAAAGUCUAGG
rnacentral:lncRNA from 1 species